rnacentral:rRNA from 1 species
GGGUUGUGAGGUUAAGCGACUAAGCGUACACGGUGGAUGCCCUGGCAGUCAGAGGCGAUGAAGGACGUGCUAAUCUGCGAUAAGCGCCGGUAAGGUGAUAUGAACCGUUAUAACCGGCGAUUUCCGAAUGGGGAAACCCAGUGUGAUUCGUCACACUAUCAUUAACUGAAUCCAUAGGUUAAUGAGGCGAACCGGGGGAACUGAAACAUCUAAGUACCCCGAGGAAAAGAAAUCAACCGAGAUUCCCCCAGUAGCGGCGAGCGAACGGGGAGGAGCCCAGAGCCUGAAUCAGCAUGUGUGUUAGUGGAAGCGUCUGGAAAGGCGCGCGAUACAGGGUGACAGCCCCGUACACAAAAGCGCAUGUGCUGUGAGCUCGAUGAGUAGGGCGGGACACGUGGUAUCCUGUCUGAAUAUGGGGGGACCAUCCUCCAAGGCUAAAUACUCCUGACUGACCGAUAGUGAACCAGUACCGUGAGGGAAAGGCGAAAAGAACCCCGGCGAGGGGAGUGAAAAAGAACCUGAAACCGUGUACGUACAAGCAGUGGGAGCACCUUUGGGUGUGACUGCGUACCUUUUGUAUAAUGGGUCAGCGACUUAUAUUCUGUAGCAAGGUUAACCGUAUAGGGGAGCCGGAGGGAAACCGAGUCUUAAUUGGGCGUUAAGUUGCAGGGUAUAGACCCGAAACCCGGUGAUCUAGCCAUGGGCAG